CUGGCAGCGUGGGUGGUUAAUAUUAGCCACACAGCUGAUUGUCCCGGCUGGUGCCCUGCGACAGGUGGGGGCUGGCCGCUGUGCUGGAAUCCCGCCCGGACCGAUGCUGGUGCUGGCACAAGCCUUCCCAUUAUAUCAAGAAGGGCCACGUCCCGUCGCCAAGAUGCCCCGGCACCCCAGGCUGGCCCCAGCUGUCUGCGGGACGUGGAGCAGGGUGACAAGCACCCAGGGAGCCUGCUGUGGGGAGAAGCGAACCGUGACUCCUCUGGAGCAGGAAGACGGGAGGUUCCUGGAUGGGACUUACAGCUGUGUGCAUGGGAUCUGACGUAUAGUUUUGGCUCUUCCCACUCUGAAAGCACGGCAGUAUCUCAACGGUGGGAGAUAAGCUGUGGACACGUGGCUGUUUUACAUCUUCAUUGUGUCUAGUGACUGGAGCAAGGUUCUGAAACAUUCACUACUCUCAUCCCGUUCCCUUCUGGAGGUGAGUUGCAAGGAAUUUAGUGAAGGCAUGAGUGAGUACUGCUUUUAUGUCCUGGUGCAGUGUGCAUUCUCU
rnacentral:lncRNA from 13 species